AGCUAAUCUAUUGUUGGCAUGCUAAUCUGCAUUUAGGUAAGGAUGCAUGUGUCUGUACUAGUUAUCUCAGUGACAGACUAACAGCCAGGUGACCUCUCACCCCUGACCUCUGGAUGGACAGAUUAAAUUGGUUUUAUUGGAACAGUGCAUAUUAAUGGAUGUACAAUUUUAUCAAUAUAACUGAUUUAGCAAAAUGCUAAUUUCCAUCCGCAGUCCCAUAAAACAAACACAAGUUACAAAAAUAACAUUAAUACAAAUAUAUUAAAAAAUGAGAAACUGUCUUAAGAGAUCAAAGUGUUCUGACUUUCAAAAUGUUUAUGAACUGGAAGGAUGUUUUCUUUAACUUUUUUAUUUACCGAUCAGCAAAUAAUGGAUUGAUAAUCAGCACUUACAUCAGUAACCCUGGUGAAAACAGCAGCUUCAAACCAGUAAGAGAUCAGUCUUAAACCAGUUUAAAACCAAUAUGAAACCAGUAUGGGGUAACUGAGCGUUUUCCUUCUACCUGACGGAGCAGAGUCUGUUCUGUCUGUGAUGGCCUGAUGUCCCACAGUCAGUGAAUAUGUCGUAGGCUGCUGUAAGGUCAGAGGUCAGAUGCUGCCUGGCUCUGAGGCAAAGAGAAGAUUUUCCCUCUGGAAGAAUCUGCAGCUUCGGCGUCCUCACCUGUUCCUCAGCAACUCCAGAACAGCCCGCUGAUUUAAACCUGCCCCCUACCCCCGCUGCCCCCCGCUGAUUUAAACCUGCCCCUCCUCCUACCCGUCGCCCCCUCCUCAAUCUUUGUCUCCAUAACGACUCCUAAAGACUUCCCACUCGACUAACCUUCUUUCUCUGAGUGCUGCCGCGUCAUUGGUCGGCCGCUGACAUUUUGUUAGACAUCAUUAAGGUGGACGACACCAUAAAGCACCCGAAGGCGACACCCCUUCACCCCCCACCCGGGGUAAUACCUCUCGCCCUGUGGGGGACACGCAGCAAGGGGGGAGAGUUAUGAGUCUUAUUUAAGGUCCCGAUUAACCUUCUUUCUGUACGACUAAUCAAUUUUCACGAGUCGGGCUCCAUAAAGACCCUGUACAACACACACACACACACACCCACACACGAUCCAGAUGUCUCCGUUAGAAACAGAACCAGAAUCCCCACUGGGUCAGGUGAGGUUCCAUCCUUCCCAGGAUCAGGCUUCCUCAGGUAAACUCGGUGACCUGAGGCUGUCUCUACCCGUCUGACCCGUCUCACCCUGACCCCCAGGUGAGUUUAUGUUCUGAAAUCAGGGUCAAGGGUUAAAACGGUGGGCUUGUGUUCAGAGUCGGAGGUCAGCUCAAAGUUUCUACUCACGUUUGGCUCUAUUUCAUCAGGAUGCAAAUGUUUCAGGUUAAACUCUGUUCUUUCAUCAAACUGAAAGUAAUCGAAUCUCUUCACCUUUUCCUCCAACUUUUCUUCUUCUGUCAUCCGUCUUCAUCUGUUUCUCUUUAGCCGGUCGAGCCUCUCCUCCGUCUCCAUCACUCCAUAUUAGCUCCGUCUCUCCUCUAUUACCUCCCUCUUUCGCCCAUUAGUAACACCUGAAUCCUUCUAUUAGAUUCAGGAAGUCGGCCUCAUAAAUUCGCCGGCGUGUGCGCGCUGCUGGGCGACGGCUCACUGUUUUUGAUAAUGAAAGGAUCUGGGCUUAAAUUCACAUUACCUUUGUGAUGUACUUCAUGCUUGAUCAUAUGGGGCUCUUUGAUUUUAUUAACGUCUCUGAAUGGAUUUCUGGCUCUUUUCCCGUCCGUCUCCGUCUGUCUGCCUCCAACGACGGCUUCGUCCUCCGAGGAGCCGUUGAAGGUCGGGGUCGCCGCUCCGCCCGCUACCUGCUGAUGGCCUGCGGAAAGGCUUUGGACACCGAAUGGAACCUGCUUUCGUUCUGAGAGAUUCACAUGGCAAGCUGUUGGCCAAUUU